GCGGACGUGGUGGAACUGGCAGACACGCGUGCUUGUGGGGCACGUGCCGCAAGGCAUGGAGGUUCAAAUCCUCUCGUCCGCA
rnacentral:tRNA from 1 species